AGUGAACGCUGGCGGUAGGCCUAACACAUGCAAGUCGAACGGCAGCACAGUAAGAGCUUCCUCUUACGGGUGGCGAGUGGCGGACGACUGAGGAAUACAUCGGAAUCUACUUUUUCGUGGGGGAUAACGUAGGGAAACUUACGAUACUACCGCAUACGACCUACGGGUGAAAGCAGGGGCUCUUCGGACCUUGCGCGACUGUAUGAGCCGAUGUCGGAUUAGCUAGUAGGCGGGGUAAAGGCCUACGAAGGUGACGAUCCGUAGCUGGUCUGCGCGGAUGAUCAGCCACACUGGGACUGAGACACGGCCCAGACUCCUACGGGAGGCAGCAGUGGGGAAUUUUGGACCAUGGGCGCAAGCCUGAUCCAGCCAUGCCGCGUGCAGGAUGAAGGCCUUCGGGUUGUAAACUGCUUUUGUACGGAACGAAAAGCCUUCUUUUAAUACAGGAGGGUCAUGACGGUACCGUAAGAAUAAGCACCGGCUAACUACGUG
rnacentral:rRNA from 1 species